CUGAACCCUGAGCCCACCUCUCUUAUGUCUCCUGCAUUAGCAGGAACUAUGUCAUACGCAGUUUAUGAACUGGGACGAGUAACAGACCAGCAAAAACUGCUCCACCCAAGUUACUUAUGAAGACUUUCAGCUCUGGAUCUUGGGUUGGUCAAAUGGAAGGAACCCAGUUGGUUUUUAAAACUGAGAAAUUCUUGUUCUCCUUGCUCAUCCUUCUUAUACAGAUGGUGUGCUGUGGUCUAUAAAAGGAUCAUCAGUUCUGAGGAGGAAGAGGAGGAGGAGCACCAAAUCAUCAUGCAAGUCACUGAUUUCUCUCUUAGCUUGGGCUGCUACAACUGCCAGAGAAUGAAUGGCUUAAACAGCACACGCUUAUUUCUCACGGUUCUGGGAGGCUGGAAGUCCAAGAACAGGUGCUAGAAGAUCUGGUGUUUGGUGAGAGCCUGCUUCCUGGUUGGAAGAUGGCUGUCUUCACACGGCAUCCUCGCAGGACUGAGGGAAAAGGAGCUUUAUCAACCAGGGGAGAUGACUCAUCAUAGGGAAGGAGAAUAGAGGUCAACAUCAAACUCAACCAUUAUCACAGACUCUCAUAUAUUCUUCUAAGGGCCUGUUUAUCUUUCUUAAAAAUUAUUUAAUUAUUUUGCUUCUCUGAAAGGCCUACAUUUUCCCUCCUCUUUCCCUAAGAUGGUAUCUAAUCCUGAAUUCAGGCCGCCUCCUUACAUUACUCAUUUUUCCCUGGGAGUCUCCCAUGUACGUAUGAGGC
ensembl:lncRNA